UACGUAGGGCGCGAGCGUUGUCCGGAAUUAUUGGGCGUAAAGAGCUCGUAGGCGGCCUGUUGCGUCCGCUGUGAAAUCCCAGGGCUCAACCCUGGGCGUGCAGUGGAUACGGGCAGGCUGGAGGCAGGCAGGGGAGAACGGAAUUCCCGGUGUAGCGGUGAAAUGCGCAGAUAUCGGGAGGAACACCGGUGGCGAAGGCGGUUCUCUGGGCCUGUACUGACCGC
rnacentral:rRNA from 1 species